rnacentral:pre_miRNA from 1 species
AUACAAGUCACCUGAGCUUCUGUUAAAAUGCAGAUUCUGAUUCAGGAGGUCCAGGGUUGGCCUGAGAUUCUGCAUUUCUAACAGAAUCCCAGGUGAAGCUAAA